AACGGGUGAGUAAUGCGUGACCAACCUGCCCCAUGCUCCAGAAUAGCUCUUGGGAACGGGUGGUAAUGCUGGAUGCUCCAACUUGACGCAUGUCUUGUUGGGAAAGUGUUUAGUGGCAUGGGAUGGGGUCGCGUCCUAUCAGCUUGUAGGCGGGGUAAUGGCCCACCUAGGCUUCGACGGGUAGCCGGCCUGAGAGGGCGGACGGCCACAUUGGGACUGAGAUACGGCCCAGACUCCUACGGGAGGCAGCAGAA
rnacentral:rRNA from 1 species